UAACUCUUUAGUUAAUAGAGUGAGUGUUAGGAGACAACAAACGGUGGUGUCACAAAAUCGGAGGCCACGACUGUUUACUAAAAACACAAUUCAGAGCAAUGAUGAAAAUCAUAGUAUUCUGGAUGAAAUUUGCCCGAUGCCAUUAACAUAAAAGAGGUAAUGGGUAACUGUUAUAAUUGAAAGUCUGGUUAAUAGCGGUCUUAACUAUGAGGAUCCUAAGGUAGCAAAAUCAGUUGGCCAUUAAAUGUGGUCUGGUAUCAAUAGUGUAACGAUGGUCUCACUGUCUCUACAACUUGCUCAGUGAAAUUGAAUUAUCCGUGCAGAUGCGGAUUGCCUCCAGGUGGACGGGAAGACCCUAUGCAGCUUCU
rnacentral:rRNA from 1 species